rnacentral:rRNA from 1 species
AUUGAACGCUGGCGGCAGGCCUAACACAUGCAAGUCGAGCGGAUGAAGGGGGCUUGCUCCUGGAUUCAGCGGCGGACGGGUGAGUAAUGCCUAGGAAUCUGCCUGGUAGUGGGGGAUAACGUCCGGAAACGGGCGCUAAUACCGCAUACGUCCUGAGGGAGAAAGUGGGGGAUCGUCGGACCUCACGCUAUCAGAGGAGCCUAGGUCGGAUUAGCUAGUUGGUGGGGUAAAGGCCUACCAAGGCGACGAUCCGUAACUGGUCUGAGAGGAUGAUCAGUCACACUGGAGCUGGGCCACGGUCCAGGCUCCUGCGGGAGGCAGCAGUGGGGAAUAUUGGACAAUGGGCGAAAGCCUGAUCCAGCCAUGCCGCGUGUGUGAAGAAGGUCUUCGGAUUGUAAAGCACUUUAAGUUGGGAGGAAGGGCAGUAAGUUAAUACCUUGCUGUUUUGACGUUACCAACAGAAUAAGCACCGGUUAACUUCGUG